rnacentral:lncRNA from 1 species
UUUUAUUGAUUUUAUAGUAAAAUUUUAUAUGCAGACUUGUUUAAGGUUGAAUUAUGUUUAAUUCAUAGCUGAUUCUAUUUAUUUUGCAGAAGGUUUUGUGCAGUUCAAUGUUGCUGAAAAAUAGCAUUUCUUCAAUCAAGGUUAGGACUUGUGAUAUGAACUGUUUGGGAAUCAGAGGAACAUGGAGCAAAGGAAGAAGAAAGAAGGAGUAAAGCCACACUGUCAGGUAGAAUUAUGCUCUAUAUAAAUGUGAUUUUU